CUACGGGGGGCUCCAGUGAGGAAUAUUGCACAAUGGGGGGAACCCUGAUGCAGCAACGCCGCGUGGAGGAUGACGCAUUUCGGUGUGUAAACUCCUUUUAUAUGUCAAGAAAAUGACGGUAGCAUAUGAAUAAGCACCGGCUAACUCCGUGCCAGCAGCCGCGGUAAUACGGAGGGUGCAAGCGUUACUCGGAAUCACUGGGCGUAAAGGACACGUAGGCGGGUUGGAAAGUCAGGUGUGAAAUCCUACAGCUUAACUGUAGAACUGCACUUGAAACUUCUAAUCUAGAGUAUGGGAGGGGGAGAUGGAAUUAGUGGUGUAGGGGUAAAAUCCGUAGAUAUCACUAGGAAUACCUAAAGCGAAGGCGAUCUCCUGGAACAUUACUGACGCUAAGGCAUGAAAGCGUGGGGAGCAAACAGGAUUAGAUACCCGAGUAGUC
rnacentral:rRNA from 1 species